rnacentral:rRNA from 1 species
GACGAACGCUGGCGGCGUGCUUAACACAUGCAAGUCGAACGGAAAGGCCCUGCUUUUGUGGGGUGCUCGAGUGGCGAACGGGUGAGUAACACGUGAGUAACCUGCCCUUGACUUUGGGAUAACUUCAGGAAACUGGGGCUAAUACCGGAUAGGAGCUCCUGCUGCAUGGUGGGGGUUGGAUAGUUUCGGCGGUUGGGGUUGGACUCGCGGCUUAUCAGCUUGUUGGUGGGGUAGUGGCUUACCAAGGGUUUGACGGGUAGCCGGCCUGAGAGGGUGACCGGACACAUUGGGACUGAGAGACGGACCAGAAUGCAAAGGGAGGCAGCAGUGGGGAAGAUUGCAAAAUGGGCGGAAGCCAGAUGAAGAAACGCCGCGUGCGGGAUGACGGGCUUCGGGUUGUAAACAGCUUUAGCCUGUGAAGAAGAGUGAGUGACGGUAAUGGGUAAAGAAGCACCGGCUAACUACGUG